CGACUGUUUACCAAAAACAUAGCUUCUAGAAAUAAUUAGAAGUAAAAUCCUGCCCGGUGAAAGCAAUUUUAAACGGCCACAAUCGUGCUAAGGUAGCGUAAUCAAUUGUCCUUUUACUGAGGACUAGUAUGAAAGGAAAAACGAAGCUCAACUGUCUCUAUUAAAAAAAUAGAAAUUAGUUUUUAGAUGAAAAAAUCUAAAUAAAAUUAAAGGACGAAAAGACCCUAUAGAGUUUAAAUAUAAUUAUACUAUUCACAAAUUAAACAAAACGAAUAGAGUAAAUAUUUUAAUUGGGGCAACAUAGGAACAAGAAAUUUCCUUAUAGUAAACAUUUAACAUCAUAAAAAUAAAAAUCCUCAAAGAGAUAAAGAAAAACUACCUUAGGGAUAACAGCGUAAUUUUUCUAAAGAGACCUAAUCGAAAGAAAAGUUUGCGACCUCGAUGUUGGACUAAGGCAUCAAAAUGGUGAAGAAACUAUUAAAAGUAGGCCUGUUCGGCCUAAUAGCCUUACAUGAUUUG
rnacentral:rRNA from 1 species